CUUCAUUGAAAAUCUUAUCCAUAUAUUUGGAAUUGUAGUCUUUUCUACUGAUAUGUUGAAUGGGAUGUGGUAAAUUUCUUUCUUCGCGUAUCCAUCAUGGACAUAGUUAACGAAAGGAUUCAAGAAAAUUACUAUCCUCCUAUUAAGAAUACUUGUAUUGAUACCGUAAUCUUGUGUCAUAAUCUUGUAUGUUUGUUCAACUAAAUAUUUCUAUUUGUAAUCUGAGUACCCAAGAGAAAGCAAUUCUUCCUGAUCCUGAUCAUCUUCAUCGUUUAGGUAUAGGUUUAGGGUACUUAUCUGUUGCAGAAGAAUUCAAAAUUGUUCGGUGGUUCACCCAGGAUGGCAGAAUGAAUGUGGGGUGUGAACUUUUCAGUCUAACUAAUCGUCUCAGAUUCAAAUCAGAUUCAUGGAGAUUGACUGAAACAUGUCCUUUUAAAAUCCUUAGCAUCACUUCUGUGUUUGGAGUGAUUUUUUAGCAGAUACUUAACCCAACGUUAAGGAAUUUUUUUAAAACCAAUUCUAUUCUUGCAUUGGAUUUGGAUGAAGAAGAAUCCUAAAUCGUUUCAUGCCCAAAGCUUAGUCUUGAUACUGUUGCCUACUUGGUAGAGUUAGAGGAGUGUUUAUGUUUGGCACACUAUUCCUACAGAAAGGCAAUUGUGAAAAUUUGGAGGCUGGAAGACCCAAAAAAUAGUUUGUGGGUUUCAGAAUAUUACAUCAAUUUUUCAUCUAUAUGCUACAUCAUUGUGCCAUUAACAAGUGUAUUGGCUGGUCAUGUUGAAGAGCUGGUUUUUAUUCCAAAAGUAGGCAAAGGUCUCUAUUAUAAUGUAGAAUCCGGUACGAUGAGAAAACCAGAAAACUUGGAGAAUGUUACACUGCGUUGGUGUGAAUUUCCUUGUGUUUUGAAGAAUAUGGAGCUCUAAACGAUGACGGCUUUCUAAGGAAUCAGUAAUUUUAUUCCAUUUAUUUUUUUAUACAUAUUGAUAUGAUUGAUG
rnacentral:lncRNA from 1 species